ACACCGUUGGUGAAGUGGUUAUCAUGCUUGCCUUCCAUCUAUCUUCCACACCUUAUUAGAGCAAGCGGCUCGGGUUCGAUUCCCGAACGGUGUA